UACGGAGGGUGCAAGCGUUAUCCGGAUUCACUGGGUUUAAAGGGUGCGUAGGUGGGCAGGUAAGUCAGUUGUUAAAUCUCCGGGCUUAACCCGGAAACUGCCAUUGAUACUAUCUGUCUUGAAUACCGUGGAGGUGAGCGGAAUAUGUCAUGUAGCGGUGAAAUGCUUAGAUAUGACAUAGAACACCAAUUGCGAAGGCAGCUCACUACACGAAUAUUGACACUGAGGCACGAAAGCGUGGGGAUCAAACAGG
rnacentral:rRNA from 1 species